GAUCAAUCAUGGCUUUCUUUGAAGAGAAGAGAUCAUAUAUCCUUGCAGAUGCUGGUCUUAACGGCCAAACACGAGGAGAAUUUCUGUUGUGAGGAAGAGCCACUGUCUGACUGAGUAGUUUUGAGAAGUUUGAAAUUGAUUGGUUUUUAUGGAGAAACCCAAACCGUGUCCAGGAAAGGAGGACUUAUACAUGCUAUGACUGAUGGGCAUUUCUGCUGCUGCCGUUCUUACCUAAGUUGUGGAACUGCACCACAUCCUUUGUUCGUCGCAUGUUCCAGAUCAUGAAGAGAGGCUUCCAGUACCUGAAGUGU